GUUGAACUUGGCCCCAGACAGAUGAUCCCCAAUGGUUGGAGGGCGUUGAUUGGCUGCGCUGUCUUAUGGGCCGAGCUAGAACAACCCGAGCUAACGGUGGAGGAAUUCCUCCACUUAUAUCAAGUCAAGCCCAACCAUAGUCAACUCAGCUGGUUUUAUUUGUCUGCCUGGUGAGGAACUGGGGGAAGCCUUAUUACUGACCCAUCAUCGUCCAACAAGAAUUGGAGGGACAUGGUUCUGGGCGUCCGGGUGUUGGGAGGUAGCCGAUCUAUCUCUACCUUCAGAUCAAUACCGGGUCCUUACAACAUUUUUCGACCCAUGUAAACAUUUCUCGGACAACCAUUCUUAGUUUGUUUCGAGUUGGUCGGUUUCUGAUCGCACUGUAGCUGAUGGUUUGUUUCUCUGUGCAGUUCUCCCUAAACAAGUCCCUCUGGUCGACAGUGGAGCGCUUGCUCGGAUUAAGGCGGCGAGAGCGCUCCCUUGGGAGAAAAGGUCUUGGAGGGUUCUGCUUCAACCUGAGCUACUCCUUCAAUCAGGCUUGGACUUCGCUCUUACCGGUAAGCCAUUGGAGAUGCCUGAAGCUCGUCUUAUGCUCCGACCUCCUUCUAAACUCUGUGCUCCUCCUGCCAGGAUGAGACGAUGGCGCCGAAUAAGUAGAAGAUCAUGGCCUCUUCCAAGAGCAAGGGGAAGGUCGGCUCCUCCUGCCCUGUUGUGAUUGAGGCAGAUGGAGAGGGAAUGGAGGUGGAGACCUCCUCUGGUGUUGAUGAAGUGGCGGGGACAACUGUCCCGGAAGAGGCUGCUCUUGCCGAAGUGCAGGGGGUUGCCGAGCUUCCCACGGAGGCUCGAUCUUCGGAUGCUGAGAGGGUAGCUCGCCCACGGGUCUCCGCUAGACUGUUGAGGAGAUCCUCCCUUGGGCAGACCGCUAUACGUCGGAGGCAAAGUUCGGCAAUUUGUUCGACUCCCCUGUGGACUCAGCUUUGGCCCACGUGAUGACGAGCCUCCUUAGGUUCGCUUCGUGUGUUUUGAAGGCGCAUGUCGAGUUUGCUUGGAUACGUGAACUGGUGGGCGGGGCCGACUGGAAGGUGGCCCAGUCAAAGGCUUGGGCUGAGGCUGCGGAGGUCGAGCUAAGGGCUGCGAGGAUGACCCUUGAAGCAGCUACUGUGGAGAAGGCUAAGAUGGCGGCGAAGCUGAAAGAGGCCCAGGCUUAGUAUGUGGAUUGCCGGGCUAAGCUCAUGGAGACCUCGAAGCUUGAAGAACUUAAGGCCGGGACAAAGGCUGCUCUUGCCUUGGCUCGGAAGGAUGCGGUGGAGGAGUUCAAGGCCUCCUAGACGUAUUCAGACGACAUGGAUUACCUCUUUCGUCAGGGUUACACUAAAUGUGUCAGGGCUAUGAAUGAGUCCUUCCUCAAGCUUGAUCUGUCCGGCUUCGAUGAGUCCGAAUCGGGCUCUGAUGGGUCGGGCGAUGAAGCGACUCCCGAUCAGCUCCUCGAGGCCGAGGCUUGAGGGUCAGUUUUUUGCAGAGAAGUAUUACCUUCAUCCUGCAAUACCUUUCCCUUUUUCAGCUUCAAGCACUUCAAGCGCUAUCCGCCUUUCCCUUUUUCAACUUCAGGCACUUCAUGCGCUGUUCGUCUCUCCCUUUUUCAGCUUCAAGCACUUCAAGCAUUUGUAAAUCAAUGUACAUGUAUUUUUCUAGGUUAUAACCGAUGUAAUACCAAUCUAAUCAUGCCUUUUGGGCUUUAUCAAUGAAACACUUCUUUUCUUUUGAAAAACUCCUUUCAAAUUAUGAGUUUCAGAGUUGAGUAGAUUGUUUUUUUACUUUGCAUGAGUAGGUCGAACUGAACACAGGUUGUAACUCGGGUAUCGAUCGGAUGUUGAUUGGCGUUUUACAGAAACCUG